rnacentral:rRNA from 1 species
UACGGGGGAGCAAGCGUUGUUCGGAUUUACUGGGCGUAAAGGGCGCGUAGGCGGCGUAACAAGUCACUUGUGAAAUCUCCGGGCUUAACUCGGAGCGGUCAAGUGAUACUGUUGUGCUAGAGUGCGGAAGGGGCUACUGGAAUUCUCGGUGUAGCGGUGAAAUGCGUAGAUAUUCGAGAGGAACACCUGCGGCGAAAGGCGGGUAGCUGGGCCGACACUGACGUGAAGCGCGAAAGCUAGGGGGAGCGAACGGG